GCCUGGAUAGCUCAGUCAGUAGAGCGUGAGACUUUUAAUCUGAGCGUCCAGGGUUCAACUCCUUGUUCAGGCA